AACAUUUAGAACAACAUGCUGGCUUUCCACUCCUGAACUGACAUUCCAAAAUUCAUGUUCUGUGAAUCAGGCUUUGGGAAACUUAUCUCCGGGAAAAUAUGAGACAGAUUCAACUCUGAUUGCCUGAAAUGCUGAUGGUGAAAGAGUCCUUGGACAUAAGAAACUCAAACUCACUUGAAAAAAGCAAGUAAAAAGAAAAGAAAGAAUCCUCCGAAACCUUCUAGAAAAUCAGAAAAAAGAAGACAGAAAUAGAGACUACUAAUGGACCAGCAUCCCAAAACAGGCCUCGCUACUAUACCACAUUUGCUGAGAAAUAGUCUCUGCCGUACAGAAGACAUUCUGGCCAAGAGCCUGCAACAGUGUGUUGUCUGCUUUUUGAGUGGCAAUUCCCACCCACUGGUCAUUAUGGAAAUACACUUGGC
rnacentral:lncRNA from 1 species